UACGUAGGGGGCAAGCGUUGUCCGGAAUUAUUGGGCGUAAAGGGCGCGCAGGCGGUCUUCUAAGUCUGAUGUGAAAUCCCACGGCUUAACCGUGGAAGGUCAUUGGAAACUGGAGGACUUGAGUGCAGAAGAGGAGAGUGGAAUUCCAUGUGUAGCGGUGAAAUGCGUAGAGAUAUGGAGGAACACCAGUGGCGAAGGCGACUCUCUGGUCUGCAACUGACGCUGAGGCGCGAAAGCGUGGGUAGCGAACAGGAUUAGA
rnacentral:rRNA from 1 species